UCCAAUUGAUUCAAUUAUGACUAAUUCCUGGCUCUGUGUAACCCCCCCCGCCCCCUAAAUCACAUGGCCUGUCAAAGCUCAUGCUGUGGAAAUGAUGCUGCAUUCACAUUCUACGGGAAUUUUCCAAGUGAGCAUUUGUGACAUCACAGCUUCCCACCUCGUUCUGUUCAUGUGAAUUUCCAACAAGAGUUUAAGGAGAAGCACAAGGUGGAUCUGGACAAGAAACGAGUGAAGAGGAGAGGAGAGGAAAGGCGUUAAGCAGGGAUUGCAGUGCUCUGGGUUCAGCACAACUGGCAAACUCCAUUUCUUACCAGGGGUGUGAGAAGGAAGACUGGAGUGAAUGGUCUGGCCGACGCCGCUCUUGGCAGCCAAGACGGGGGGUCGGGUUGGUGAGGUCCGUCGCUGCUGGAGUCUCUGCCAGUUGAAGGAGCAACAGGCACUCAGCUGGAAGAAGAACAGCAGAGCUCCUUCUACUUCUUUUGAGAAAGCAGGUGAAGACUUCACUUGGAUCAGACACCCUCCCCCAAGAAGGACAAUCAGAAGUGUGUGGAGGUCCGGGGAGAGUUGCUGGGGUUGCCCCUUCUGGCCAUGUGCCCCUCAAGAAGAAGAAGAAGAAGAAGAGCCAAAGUGGACAGGCAGGCUGACGACGAGACUUUCUUUCCCGUUUUAUUAACUGAGAGCAGACUUGGCCAUCUUCUUUGAGGCUGUCGUUCUUGAAUGAUUUUGCUUUGGGUGAAUUACCAGAUCAACAUUUUUAUUUGAAAUAAGAAUCCCCUCAUUACAGUAACUGACAGAAAGUAAAAAUAAAGACC